rnacentral:tmRNA from 1 species
GUCCAUUCUCCAAUGGACUAGGUGAUCCACACCAGUGUUUCGGACAGCGGUUCGAUUCCGCUCAGCUCCACCA